GACAGAGGGUGCAAACGUUGUUCGGAAUUACUGGGCGUAAAGCGUGUGUAGGCGGUUUGCUAAGUCGGGUGUGAAAGCCCCGGGCUCAACCCGGGAAGUGCACUCGAAACUGGCAGGCUAGAGUACUGGAGAGGUUGGUGGAAUUCUCGGUGUAGAGGUGAAAUUCGUAGAUAUCGAGAGGAACACCGGUGGCGAAGGCGGCCAACUGGACCGGUUCUGACGCUGAUGCGCGAAAGCGUGGGUAGCAAACAGG
rnacentral:rRNA from 1 species